GGGAACUGUGGGCCAGCGGCCGAGGUAAUGCAGGGGUGGCAGGGGUUGGUCGGAGUUACUGGGCGUAAAGGGUGCGUAGGCUGCCUUGUGUGUCAGGUGUGAAAUCCCACGGCUCACCCGUGGAAAUGCACUUGAAACUGCAGGGAUCGAGUUCAGGAGAGGUAAGCGGAAUUCUUGGUGUAGCAGUGAAAUGCGUAGAUAUCAAGAGGAACACCGGUGGCGAAGGCGGCUUACUGGACUGAUACUGACGCUGAGGCACGAAAGCCAGGGUAGCAAAAAGGAUUAGAUACCCUUGUAGUC
rnacentral:rRNA from 1 species